UGGAGGAUCAGAUCGGUUAUGAAAUCAAUAGUUGGGGUUUAAUUGGUCAAAAUUGAUAGUCGAUGACCAAUUUGGUAAUUACGACAUAAUUGAAGUCUCGAGGGACCA